rnacentral:rRNA from 1 species
GACGAACGCUGGCGGCGUGCUUAACACAUGCAAGUCGAACGGUGAAGCGCCUUCCUUUUUGGUGGGUGUGGAUGAGUGGCGAACGGGUGAGUAACACGUGAGUAACCUGCCCCCUUCUUCUGGAUAACCGCAUGAAAGUGUGGCUAAUACGGGAUAUUCUGGGUCUGUCGCAUGAUGGGUCUGGGAAAGAUAUUGCUUCGGUGGGGGAUGGGCUCGCGGCCUAUCAGGUUGUUGGUGGGGUAAUGGCCUACCAAGGCGGUGACGGGUAGCCGGCCUGAGAGGGAGUGAGACCAGGCCGGGACUGAUACGGGACGCAGCAGUGUGGGAGAUGGAGCAGUGGGUGUGAGGGUGAUAUAGGGGGGACGCGUAAGCAGCAGCGGCCCUUGGGUGGUGAAGGCCUUCGGCUAGUGAAGCGGGCGUGCCUGGGUUGUAGGGUGGGUGACGGUAGCUGGUUAAGAAGCGCCGGCUAACUACGUG